rnacentral:rRNA from 1 species
UACGUAGGGGGCGAGCGUUGUCCGGAGUUACUGGGCGUAAAGCGCACGCAGGCGGUCUGUUAAGUUUGGAGUGACAGUUGGUGGCUCAACCACCAAAGUGCUUUGAAAACUGAUAGACUUGAGGGCUUCAGAGGGACACGGAAUUCCGGGUGGAGUGGUGAAAUGCGUAGAGAUCCGGAGGAACACCAAAGGCGAAGGGCAGUGUCCUGGGGAGUACCUGGACGACUCAGGUGGCGAAAGCCAGGGGAGCGAACGGG